UACGUAGGUGGCAAGCGUUGUCCGGAUUUACUGGGCGUAAAGAGCGCGCAGGCGGUCGUUUAAGUCGAAUGUGAAAGCCCCCGGCUCAACUGGGGAGGGUCAUUCGAUACUGAUCGACUUGAAGGCAGGAGAGAGAAGUGGAAUUCCCGGUGUAGUGGUGAAAUGCGUAGAUAUCGGAAGGAACAUCAGUGGCGAAAGCGGCUUCCUGGACCAGUACCGACGUUCAGGCACGAAAGCGUGGGGAGCAAACAGG
rnacentral:rRNA from 1 species